rnacentral:rRNA from 1 species
AAUCAACGCUGGCGGCGUGCCUAACACAUGCAAGUCGCACGAGAAAGGGACUUCGGUCCUGAGUACAGUGGCGCACGGGUGAGUAACACGUGAAUAAUCUACCUUCGAGUGGGGAAUAACUGAGAGAAAUCUUAGCUAAUACCGCAUAAUACCCACGGGUCAAAGCAGCAAUGCGCUUGAAGAGGAGUUCGCGGCAGAUUAGUUAGUUGGCAGGGUAAUGGCCACCAAGACGAUGAUCUGUAUCCGGCCUGAGAGGGCGCACGGACACACUGGAACUGAAACACGGUCCAGACUCCUACGGGAGGCAGCAGUGGGGAAUAUUGGACAAUGGGCGAAAGCCUGAUCCAGCGACGCCGCGUGGGUGAAGAAGGCCUGCGGGUUGUAAAGCCCUUCGGUUGGGAAGAAAGUAUUGGCCUAAUACGCUAGUACC